GGGACGACAAAGAUGAAAUCUUGAAAAAUGGAAAUUUUCAUCGAGUUCUUAAUACAAAAAGAAGAUAGUCAACCAAUUUUUUAUUUUGGAUCCAGUGGAAUCAUUUCAUCCCAAUCGGCGACUGCUACUGUUAUUGCGACUACCAUUGGAGAUAUUCUUCUUCUUCUUCUUCUUUGUGUUCAUCACUUAGUUCGAUCUCUUCUUCUUCUUCUUGCUAGCGGCCUCCUUGGAGACAUUCUUCUCGGCACGGGUUUCUCAGCGGAUUAUGAGUGAAUCCUCAGAGAACAAGAUGUAUUGAAUAUAAAGACGACGAAGAACAAUAUGGUUGAUCUUUUGACGAGUGGUUUUGACAUCAAUGCUUAAUGCAGUCCAGGUGUUUGAAGAAAGUCCCAGCUCACAAGUUUCAUUUGAAGGUUAUGUUUUCAGUCCAUUUUUCUCUGAAUUCUUGAACAAUUAGAAUGGAUCGUUUCUAGGUUUUACAAGUUUUUUGUUGCUGGUUAAAAAUUACAUUUCUACUACUUGGUUGUGGCUUAUGUUGUCAUUUGGAAGUAUAUUUGUUUAAGAUUUGGGUAUUUGUGUUUCUGUGUGCUCCCAAUUUCAAGAAUAUUGUUGGAUUAUGGAAAGUGGCAUUACCAGUUUGACUUUUCUUUGGAAGUAAGGCACUGUAUGGCUAUGAUUAUGUCAAAACAAAGUUUGAGCAGGCAUGUCCAUUCGUUUUGAAGUAGCUUAUGCGGUUUGAGAGUAUAUUGUUUCUUUUACUUUUAUCAAUAGCCUGUUUGGAUUGCACCCUAAGGGGCUUUGAUAGCUUAGUUCGGAUGGGGACAACUUCCUUCUUUUCAGUUAUAUGGUGCAGUAUUCUCUCAGUAUGUUUGGUAAAAUGGGUAUGGAUUCUUGGAUUCUCUCAGUAUGUUGGUCUUUGCUGCUUUGAUUGGACUUUUCAUUGGGUUCAUGCUCUCGAUUUUUCUGCAAAUCUUGAUAUGUUUGGUAAAAUGGGUAUGGAUUCUUGGAUUCUUGUGUUCAUUGUUGAAUUACUCAAGAAGUUUUGCUGUAUCCAAUUCUUGUCUCUCUACUUCACUGUUUUUUUUUUUCUGCAAUUCUGUUGAGGAGUUUAUGCAGUGAUUUUCCCUAAUCUCAGCCUAUAAUGUCGAGUCUAACCAACUCAGUUGUUAGCAUGAAUCUACAGUAAAUUCGGUUAUACGAUGAAGUUUGAAGAAGUAAACGGUAAAUCCCACGAAGGGUAAUUUCGUGAUGUGAAUAGGUAAAUCCCACGAAGGAUAGAAGAAGUUGUUACAGGUAAAUUCCACGAAUGGUAAUUCCGUGAUGUGAGGAGGUAAAUCCCACGAAGGGUAAUCUUAUGUAGAUGUUGAUUUUCUGUUGUUGAAAUUGUGAAGGCCGAUGCCAUUGUUAAGAGUAGUUGUUUUUUGGUAAAAUCCACAAAGGGCGAUCUUGUGGUACUAUAAUUAAGGCUGAUGUCACACUAUAGUUUGUUAAUUUUCUGUUUUAAAGGCCGAAGCCAAUGCUAAAUGAAGUUGUUGACAAUAAAUCCCACGAAGGGUAAUCCUGCAAGAAAUUGUUAUAACUGGCAUGAGGGUGUGUUACGACUUUAUAAGAAGUUGUUCUUUGAUUGAAGCUCCUACGAGAGGUGUAGACAUCAGUUUGAGGGGCUGAAAUUCUUUGGGAAGAACCAAUAUGAAAUUGCACCGUUCUUGAUUAUGGAUUUAGGUUUUGAAUACCUGUCAGUUUAGUGAGCAAGUAGCAUCUGUACAAGUAGCAUGUUUGAGUAUGGAUACCUGUCAGUUUAAGUAUGGAUUUAGGUUCAUGUUUGUGGGACCGCAAUUGAGAAGAAAAUGAGGAGCAAAAGCAAGCUCAAUUGCUGCAAUCUAAGGGCAACAAAACCCUUUGCAAUCAGAAAGCAUCACCAAAGUCAAUCUGGAACAAGAACAUUCUGUAGUGCGUCCAUUUGUCCAUAUUUCAGUGUUUGCUAUUUGAGACUUUGCUGCAAUCUCAAAUUGGGAUACCCCAGUUGAGAUUGAGCGGGAGCAUUAAGGGCACAAGUCAAUAAUACAGUUAGCAAUAUAGUUAGUAUUUGGUUAGAGUAGUUAAGAUUUCUCUUAUAAAAACAAAGUGUGUAAUCUUCAUUUAAUCAAUUAAUACAAAUCCUAUUUUCUCUCUCUAAUAUCUUUGUUCAUUCUUCUACUCAUCCAUUCUUCUUAAUUUUCCCUUCAAUUCCCAAAUUUUGCAAUGUAGUUAACAAGUGAGAGGUUUUAGGUUCGAUUCUCACCGAAAAUAAUUUUGAACCACAUUGUUAUGGCAAGUCUAUUGUAAGGCUUGGCUCACUUCCUCACUCCUUAAUGUAAAUUAUAUCGUUUGUUAAAAAAAUAAAUUAUACCCACGAGCAUGUUUACCUUACUAAUACAUAUAUUUUAGCUCUCAUAAGUUUGAUUAGUUAAGAGAGUUCAUUAUUCAAUUGUUUGAUUUAUCUUGACUAGUUUACUUUUAUUUAUGUAAAGGUAUGAGAAAGAGAAUGCAAAUAGCAGGCCACGUGGUCCAGUGGAUUAAUGAAGUACAAAUGUGCAAGUACAACCCCGUGUAGUUGGUGUUGAAUAUUCUAAUAAUAUAUUAAUAUAUUCGUAUGGAAGAAGUUGGGUAUUUGCCCAACAGUUGCUCUUCAUCAUAUUAAAGCAAUGUGACUUUUCAAACUUUACUAAAAGACAUGAUUCAUGUCUGACUAGUGCAUGGUUUACUAACAGACACAACUUUUGGUAAUUGAUGCUUUGCAUCAGACAUGCGAAUUGACAUAUGUUGUAAUAUUAAUUCAGUUGUAUCUUAUGGCGAGAAGACAUAUUUAAAAUCAAAGGAUAUGUCUAACAGGUGCAAUCUCUCAUAUAUAUUGGUAAAUUGGUAGAAGAGAAAAUCAUUUAGAAAUUUGUUGUAUACACAAUUUCAUUGCUCUCUCUUCUCUCUCUAUCACAUUCAUACAAUUUCUUUCUAGUUAUUUUUAAGGGAAUAUAAUUUGGUUUUGCUAAUCGAAUAUUUCAUACUUUGUUGUAUCCUAGAAGUGACUUGACAAAAACCCUUUAGCAAACUCAUUCGAGUGGAAACAAAUAAUACUUUAAGGAAACGAUUCAAGUCGUACCUCAAAAUCAUCAUUUGGAUUAUUCUCUAUAUUUCUACCUUUACUCUAACUGUUGGGGCAGAAAUAAAGGGUCCAAGUUAAAAAGCAAGCAGCUCACUUGCAAACAAGUUGCAAACAACAAAGAGUCCUUCGUCCUUCGUCCUGUGCAACUGAGUCAGCGACAUCGCCAGGUGCGAAAAGCCAGGAACACAGAGAAAAUAGGAAUCCAGUGACAUAAGCAUGCGUACGUUCUGGAUGGGUCGACUCAGUGGAAGCGGAAGCUGGCAUCUCUGCUAUCAGUUAGUUUCCAAUCUUUAGAACUCUUUCUUUAAUUUCGUUUAUGGAGAACUAAUCUCCCUAGCUAAGGCUAAGAGGAAAAAUCUAUAUUAAUUACCAUUAUGGAUAUUUCAAGGAAUUUUUUAUUUAUUUUAUUUUCGAAUUGAUGGAUGUUAGUUAUAAUUCAUAGGUUCAAUCACGUUUUUCCUAUAGUUUUGUUUCACAUUCUUUUUUUUAGUGAAUUGAACAAAUUAGUAGAUUGGUAUGAUUUCGAUGGAAAAUUUUCUUAAUAUUUUGUUGUCUUAGGUACAAAUUAUUUUUGGGAUUAUUUCUAUAGGGAAUUGAAUUUGUGUUUUGUUUUGAAUAACUAUAAUGAAAAAUCACUUUUCAAACAGUUUUAUAUUGAAAAUAUUUAAUUGCCAUAUCAUCCGACUGAGAGCAUUUUACGUUUGUAUCUCAGUUGAGUUAUAAUGAAUCAAAAUAAUGAAAUUCAAUAGUUGUAUGCAGGUGGAAUCCCGAUGCUUUAGUGUUUAUAAUCGUUGAAUUUUUCUUCUAAAAUUUAAAUCUCAUCCAAUAUUAUUGUUCAUUUCAGUUGCAACAAAUUCUGCAUUCUUUUUCAACACUUUCUUAGGAAUACGGACACUCAGACUUUAAGUUUAUACCGCUACACAACACCUACACAUAGGUUGAGCAAGCAGAAACAAAGAUGAUAAGAAGGAAUCAUUUCUCUAUGUUGGUUGGCAGGUUUAGCUAGAGAGUGACUUCUCUCUCUUUUGUUUGGGCUGAAAAAAAAAAAAAAAGAUAAAAGAAUAUCUAAUCUGAUGUAGUAAAAAUUGGGCUGACAUUUCCUAUUUCAGAUAUAAAAAUACAAAUGUAUUAUGUUCAAUUUCUAGGUCUUCACAGAACUCAUGAUUACAUAACAUACUGGAGUGUGAGUUGGGAGAUGUUUAUUGAUGAGGAGUCUCAAAAGCAUUCUCACACCUUUUGUUCAAUGUCAUAGCUGAAAUUGUCUUGAAUUUGGUUGUGUGAAAUUGGUUGUUAUGCAUAUGUUGCAGGAUCGUCGUGGGGUAAUUUGUAAGUGACUUAAGAUUUGAGUUCACUUAAGUUUAACUUGUCACGCCCCAAUCCCGACAUACAUUCAAGAUUAACACGUGACGUCACCAAAUACCCGUAUCUCAACCUACCCUGCCUCCGAGAUAUGGCAAAUCAUAACUCGAGAAUCGAAUCGCGUAGAAAAUUUUCAUAUACUUUAUGGCUGCAUCUAACCUCCUCGUUAGACUGCCUACGUACCCUCAUUAGGGAUCAAACCAUUCGUAGUUCGUCAUUCACUACCCAUCAACAUUUAUGACAGCACAUUCAACCUGAAAGAUAUAACACUCCUCAAUCAAUCAUUAGAACUUGACAAAUAUGGAAGUACUAGAUUCAAGGCUACAUAACAAUCCAAUAUGACAAUCAACAUUUCUACUUCAUCCAUCAUAUAAAUCACUAUGUUUUCAACAUGAAACCUUAAUCCACAACAUGUAACAUAUCCAAGAACCAACAAAGCAUAGUAUUAUUCUCAAGCCACAUUGAGCAACGAGACUAAUCAUAAUAAUAAUAAUCAUAUCCCACAUCAUUCCGCAAUCAUUCUAAUUAAUCAAUCCUAAAAAUCAACGAAGCAUGAUAUCAACAUUUACUAUGUUAUUCAAUCAAUAAGGUUCCAUAUCAAUUCACAAAUUUUAAUAAAGGAUCCCUACAUAAUUCCCCACCUGGAUUCCAAGCACUAACAUGAUAAGUCUAAUUUAUACACAAUCUCUACUAUGAACAAUUCAUAUUCACUCGAUUCCAAGGUCGAACUAUCUUUAUGGAAAAUGAGUAAGAGUAGGGAUUCCAGACCACUCAACAGAAUCCAACCAAAAUACCAAAUGACCUCUUGUACUCUCUUUAGACUUGACAUCUGUACAAUCAGCGUCUACACCAUGGGAAUAAUGCAUCGGCAUCAAGAACUUGGAUAGGCUGCGAAGCUCGUGUAAAAGGUCGUACCCAGUGCACAAGGCUCCCGUUUUACGCAGGGUCUGGAAGAGGUAAAUGUCGGCUAGCCUUACCCCCAAUAAUACAAAGUAUGUGAUAAUAAUGAUAAAAUCAACCAUCAAUCACAGUUUAGAAACCUCGAAUAUAAAUCAUUUGUAAAGAAUCAAUACCAAACAUUUGAAAACUAUGAAGGAGUCACACAAACAUCCAACGGUUCGUCUAAAACAAAUCACAUCUCACAACCAUAAUCUUAUACAACACAAUGAAAAGUAGGCUAGAGCGACAUAGUAGGCUAGAGCGACAAUAAUACAAAGUAGGCUAAAGUGACACAGUUCGGCCGAAGCCUACAUCUUUGAAGUUAUCUUAAUCCAAAUUCAAUGAAACCCAAGGUGGAUAUGAUCCCAGACCAUCACUCAAAGGAAUUGCGGAGUAUGAGGGACUUCGGACCAUCUCUCAACAGAAUCCGAGUGGAUACGAUUCCGGACCAUCACUCAACGGAAUCGCGGAAUAGAAGGAAUUCCGAACCAUCUUUCAACGGAAUCUGAGUGGAUACGAUUUCGUACCAUCACUCAACGGAAUCGUGGAAGGUCAACAACCAUAUGUACAACGGCUCAAGUAAAUGAGACAAACACAAGUUACUUAAUUUACCAAAGCUCAACCAAGGGAAAUAAGGCACAAAUACUAAAUUUAAAACGAAGCAACAAAUCCCCAUCCCAAUGGUUUAAUGAUCCACCACUAGCCCUCACAUUUCAUCACAACAUGCCAAUCAAACAAAUCAAACCAUAUUUCAAUAUAUACACGUCAAAUCUCAUUUCAUAAACUUAAAUCAAUGGCUAAGCAUUAAAAAUAACAAUUCAAUAGAAAACAUAUUUAUAAAACCAAGUCAUAUUCACACAGGAUAACAAUUACGAAAACAAGGUAAUCACCGAUAUCACAUAAAUUAAAAUCACUCACCGAGAUGAGCCGUAAAGACUCAUUGAGCCUCUAUUAAUACUAAUUUUAUCUUUAUAAACGAUUCGAGACAUGCGUCAAACGAGAAGGACACGCCCCACAAUGAGCCCAUCAAGUUCCAUGAAAUCUCAACCACACUCUAUGAUAGUUGACACACUAGAAGAACUCGAACUAGUUGACUAAAGAGCCAAUCGUUGUCUUCCGCUCCAACUAAAUAUAUUUCUUACACUGUCACAAACCCUAACCGUGCACGUACUGCAUUUAAUAUGGUCAUGCAUAGUUUUAAUUAUCUUUUUAAGCACUGUCAUAUUGGUUUAGUUGUAAUCGAUCCUUAUACAUAUACACGUCUACAAUUUUGUGAUUAAGUUUUGAGUGAUGAAUUUAAUGUGAAUUUUGGGAGGUUUUAUGAAUUGGGUUUUUUGGCAUUUCAUGCAAAUGUGCCUAACCUGGAGAGACUCGAUUUCACUCUGCAACGAAGAAAUGCUAUCCGAGUUCCCUUGAAUUACUUCCUCCUCCUCUUCUAUAAGCUCAUUCUUCUUUUUCAGUGCCUUAAUCUUCUCACUGGCGUCGAAUUCUUCGACAUCCAAGAAACACAAACCACCAGCCAGGAAAACCCAAACAACACUCAAAACACACAAAAAAAGCUCGAAAUCAAAUUCGACUAACAUCGAUGUUGUUUCUACUCACAAAGUAACUAAACAAUUAAGCAUCUUUAUUGCUCUGACUAAAAUUAUAAAAAUUGAAAAAUCAAAGCUUUACAAGUAAGCACCAGAGCUCAGCUAAUUGGCAGUAUUACUUGGAUGCCAAAACAUAAACACAAAAUUAUAAAUGGAAAGGAAUUAAAGCGCUUCCCAAUUGAAAAACCAAAGGAUCUCUAACUUUAGUAAAAUCUGUUUGGAUGGCCAGAAAACCGAGGGAAAAAAAUCGAAUUCCACAAACACUUGAAAAAUCACAAAUUUCGUCCAAUAAACCCUAGAAUUCGCAGAAGAUGAUAGAAACGAACCUAGGGAGUGGAUCUUAGGCCUGAGCUGAUUCAGCUCGAUCUUCAGAGCGGAAGAAUCAGGGGUGUCCGAUCGGGGGAACUUCACUGGCUCUUCUUCCUCCGCCGGGAUUGAAGCGACAGCCCGAAUCUGGGAGAAAAUAAGGGCAAGAAAGAUUGAGAGAAUCACGAGCUUGGAGGCCGCCAUGGGAGCAUGGCGGAGCCAGGAAUCAAUGGGCCUUUUUUUUUUUUUUCCUUUCUCAUUGGCUGCUGCCUAAGUUAACCUCUCUAAAAUCUGAUUGGUCCGCUUCCUCUUCUAACUGAUUAGUCCCUUACCCCAUAUAUAUGAUUGGGCCUCUUUCCCACAAAGUGUGAGUUUAAAUAAUUCUUAAAAUCUAUAGAAUCACAACUUCAAACGUCCGUAACUAUACCGUUAUAAUCCGUAUUCGCAAACGGCUUUCAUCUAUGUGCUCGUGACUUCAAGACUUAUUCAAAAACGUUACUUGUGACCUUGAAAGGUCAACGAGUAAAUAAUAAUUUUCCAAACUUCAUUCUUCGUAACUAGUUUAAUUCAAAUCUAAUUUCAAAUAAAUUAAUAUAAAUUCUUGAAAAAUAAUAUAAAAUCUCAAUAAUACAAAUACGCAGAUUAUAACAGUGAAAUCCGGGAACGGGAUUUCACAUAACUAGCCUUCAUGUGGGCGAAGCCCACCCCUCCCCAUUAGUAUAGAUAAUAUUAUUUGUUUUAAAAAAAUAAUUAUUUGAUAACUAAUUGAAUCACAUUAUUAUACACAUACGAAAAACUUUUUUUAUAACUGGCAUUACGCACCUCUCUUUAGAUAUUUUGAAUGUCUUUAAAAAUAGAUAAAAUAAUAUUUAAUAAACAGCUGAUUGAAUCACAUUAUUGAUAACCCAUUGCAAAGUACUAAUUAUAAAAAUUAAAAAUUAAAAAAAUUGUACACAAAAAAAUAAUUAUAAAAAAAUAAUAUUUAUAUGACGAAAAUACGUCUGCAUUAUUUGAUGAAUUAUUUUUAGAUGCACUUGAACUUUUUUGUUUGGAAGUUAUUUUUUGUCCCAUUCUUUUUUGUGAAGCCCGUGACUCCAAAUGGGCUUCGGGCUUUAUAUAGUAAUACAGAUUAGGACUCUGUUCAAUAAAAUGCUUCAUGUACUUGGCAAGUUAUUCUUGAUUUGUGAUGGGUUGGCAUUUUAGACUCGUGAGAGAUCUUUUUUUUUGUUUUCGAAAAAAAAAAACGCUAGAAGAACAAGAAAUGCACCAGUCGUGAAAAGAUGUUAAUUAAUCAAUUAAUUAAUUUUUUUAACAAAUAAUAUUAUCUACAUUAAGAAAUUGAUUGACUUUGUUCAAAACUAUUGUUUUUUUAGUUUUACUCACUCAAGUUUUAUAGGUGCAGUGCAGGGUUUAGGAUUACUAAAGAUUACAAAACACUAUAAUGUUUUUUUUUUUUUUUUUUUUUUUUGCUAAAAACACUUUUACAAUUAUAGUUUUACCAAAAUAAUUUAUUGUUUUAUUUCAUAACUGCUUAUUCUCAUAACUCAGUAGAAACAAUUUUUUUUCAAAGCACUGCAAUACAAACUAGCGCACUAUGUUUAAAAAAUACUGAAAUGCGUGGCCAAGAACCAAAUCAGGUUAAGUUCACCAUCAAUUCUUUCCUUUUCUUCUCCUUUUCAUUUUGGUAGGUUACAGUCAAUCCAAUCAAAGUCGCAAUGAAAUUUACAACGCAACUUCACACCCACCGAACCCAACGGGAAAUAAAAUGUUUUGGAAAGGUAAAAUCACAUUCAAAUUCAUAUCCUUUUUUUUGGUUAACUGAAAACUUUUGCGGUAUUUGAAACUGGAACUACUCUAGGGAUAAAAUCGAUGUUAGAUAGCUUCAAUGAACGUUAAUUUGGAUAUAGACCCAUAAAACUGUUUAUAUAUCUGUAUAUUAUCGAAUUAUACGGCAGAAAAAAACAAAUUUGUGUGUCAUUUGGAUCCAUCUGCUCCCCUCUAAUGCCAGUCUAGGAAGGUGAGUAUCGCUUUCGCUCCCAUUUUUUCUCCAUACAUGUGGACAAGGGUUUUUUUUUUUUUUUUUUUUUUUAUAACACAAGCGACAAUUUAAGGGUGGGAGAAUCUCACGCUACAAACUCCUGACGUGUCUAAACACAAUUUUUAACAACCAAUUCAGGUCAAGUCUUUCUUUUUAUCUAUUUCUUUAGUCCAGGUCUAUUAUAAAGGUUCAAGUCCAACCGAUCAGAACCCCAGUGAAAUUAGUAGGAAAUGUAAGUGUAUGUUCCUAACAACCAAUUCCAGUCAAGCCCACCAUCGGUCUUUUUCAAAACAAAAGAAAAAGACCCAUGAAAUUUACAAUGCAAUUUCACACCCACCCACCCAAAUAAUGCACACACAAAAAAAAAGUUGUAGGGCAUGCCUUCGCGCUUCCCAUUGCCCUCUGGCGCAUUAUAAAUAACCUCUCGAGGUUGAACUACGAUAGUACACACCACACCACACCACUACAACCUGUCUAUAUUCUAGUGUGAUAACCACCAAAACUUUCUCUCACUGAGGAAAUGGCAUCUUCUCCUAAUUCUUUGGUCUUCACAGUGCGGAGGCGCCAACCGGAACUGGUGGCGCCGGCAAAGGCCACGCCACAUGAGUUUCGACAACUUUCUGAUAUCGAUGAUCAAGAAGGUCUUCGAUUUCAGAUCCCCGUGAUACAGUUUUAUAAGUACGAUCCCUCCAUGCAAGGAAGGGAUCCUGUGCAUGUCCUUAGAGAGGCAAUUGCACAAACCUUAGUGUUUUACUACCCUUUCGCCGGUAGGCUCAGGGAGGGACCUAACCGGAAGCUCACGGUGGAAUGCACGGCUGAGGGUGUCAUGUUCAUUGAGGCUGAUGCCGACGUUACCCUAGAGCAAUUUGGUGACGCCCUUCAGCCACCGUUCCCUUGCUUGGAGGAGCUUCUUUAUAAUGUUCGUGGUUCCGAUGGGGUUCUUAAUUGCCCACUCUUGCUAAUUCAGGUACGAUUACGUAUGUACUUUAUAGAAAGUUAGGACUCAAAAUUUCAUCAUUAACACUUUUCAGCUCAUGUCAGUGAUACGAUAUUCAUCAUUUUUUUUCUUUUUAUUUUUGUGUUAUUAUUUUGUACUGAAAUAUUAGAUUUUUAUGAUUCAAAUUAUGUUUCUAUGAUCCAAAUUUUUUUUUAAGAGAUGUGUCUUCUUAUCCAAAAACAAUAGACGUACGAUACACAUGGAUUCAUAAAAAUGAUAAGAUAUCCACUUAAUUCUGGCAAACAAGUUGACUACCCUGACGUUAAUAACAUAAAAAGUAAAAAAUUAGAAGUGUGAACGUCAGUGAAAAAUUAGAAGUGCCAAGAUAUGUAUAAACAAACUAGUACAUGUCACUAGAAUCACUUAAUAAAUGUUGGUUAACGUAACUUGGUAGUAUAAUUUAGUAAUUUUUUUAGAGAAUUGUUAUUGACACUCUAAAAAUCUCAUUUUACACUCUUCAUAAGUGUAUUUUACUUUCUAAAUAUAGAAAGUUUAGAAUGCAAAAUGAAAAUUUUAAAAUGCCAAUAAUAAUUCUUUUCUUUUAUAAGUGAAUGAUCUUAAAUACAACCUUCUUGAAUUUCAAAUUUGAUACUAAUUUAUUAUGAUUUGUUCAUGGUGUAAGUUACACCAAAUUUCAUAAAUCUUCUUGUGUAAAUAUAGGCCUUGUGUGGUAGGAUGGAUGAGAUAUAUUGUGAUCAAUUAAAAUAGACUUGAGUCUAGUCCGUUGUUUGUUGUGUUAAAACGUGAGAUGGACAUGACUGGAUAUGAUGGGUUAUGAAUCCACAAUAGAGUGGGUUAUCUAACUUAUCUCUAUACAUGAGUUACAAGUUAUGUCUUACAAAUCUCUGCCAAUUUAAUCAUAUCUCUAAUGUCAAAUCUCAUUCAACCAACCAAACGAAGCAAUAGUAUUAUAUAAGUAUAUUUUAAGCAUCUAUAUUGUUCUUCUUCGUAGUAGUGAUGAAAUAAUAAUUAGGCAUCCAUCUCUCUUAUUUUCAAACUUGCCAUCUAUCAUGCAUCCAUGAUUAAAAGAUCAUGAUGGUUUUUUGAGAAAAUUUCAAAGUUGCAAUCUAUCAUUCCCGAUAAAAAUCUAUGGAGAAAUUUCACGUGUGUGGUCCAUCACAUAGAGAAAUUUUUAAUUGUGACGAGAACACAAGUGGUAAAUCAUGUGUUUUAAUAUGAGUAGUAAAAAAAUUUAUUUUUUAAAUUAUUAACUUUUUAGCACACAUAUCCUAUUAUUUAUAUAAUAACACGUGAUGUACCAUCCCGUGUACCGAUCAUAUUAAAAAAUUUCCAUGCAUGACUGUUUCAACAAUGGUUUGCGUGCUAACAGUAAACUAGAUCGUCCAAAAGAGUAUAUAGCAUCUUGAAUGUCAGCCCCAAAAGAAUAUCUUGACUAGUUAGGUAUAAUUAUAUUUUAUACCCAAUAAUUUUGUUUAAAAUAUAAAAUUUGAACUAUUUUAUAUUAUUACUAGGUUUGUAACUUUAAAAAUGUCGGACAAAAACAUAUGGUACUUAAAAUAAUGAAAGAGGAUCCUGUCCGUACUUACUUUGUGGGGAUCUUAAAGAUCUCCACAUUUUAACUGUUUAUCUUACAUGGUGUGUGAUCAGUUUUUGUGAUGUAUUAUUUGUAUUUAAUUUUAAAUAAAAAAGUUAGAUAAUUUCUGAUCAUACGAUACAUGACGAAUAAUUAAAAUGUGAGAAUCUCUAAAAUCUUUACAAUUUGAAUCCAUAUGAAAUUCAAAUCCUAAAAUAAUGAUCUUGAACAAGGACGAUCUACCUCGCCGACACUAAGUUACCAUCGAUGAAAAAUUAAAUACAGACGGGUAGCAUCAAUAUAUAUCACAUGUGUAGACACAUCAGUAAAUUUUUUUUCUUUUCUUUUUAUACCAGCUAUUAUUUUGGUUUUCUUUUCUUUUUAUAUCAGCUAUUAUUUUGGAGCAGAUAACAUAUUAUUUUCCUUUUCAUGAUAGUACGUAAGGUUAAGGAAACUCAGGACAAUUAUUGUCCUGUUUGUAGAGUAGUUUGUUGUAACGUAGCCUUCAACUAAACAGUAUUUGUCGUAAUUCAUAAACAGGUGACGCGGCUCCAGUGCGGUGGUUUCAUCGUCGCCCUCCGUCUUAACCACACCAUGAGCGACGCGGCGGGGCUCGUCCAAUUCAUGACGGCCUUGGGAGAGAUAGCGCGUGGCGCAGUUUCCCCGACCGUCCAGCCGGUGUGGCAGAGGGAGCUGCUCAAUGCGCGUUACCCACCGCGUGUGACGUGCACGCACCGCGAGUACGAAGAAGUGGAAGACACCAAGGGCACCAUAAUUCCACUUGAUGACAUGGUCCACCGGUCCUUUUUCUUCCGCCCCACCGAGGUGUCCGCCAUCCGAAGAUUUGUCCCGCAGUUCCUCAGCAAGUGCUCCACGUUCGAGGUCCUCACGGCCUGCCUCUGGCGCUGCCGUACCAUCGCGCUCCAGAAGGACCCAAAUGAGGAGGUGCGCGUGUUGUGCAUUGUGAACGCGCGGUCCAAGUUCAACCCUCCGUUGCCAGUGGGUUAUUACGGCAACGCUUUUGCGUUCCCGGUGGCGGUGACGACGGCAGGGAGGCUAUGCAACAACCCAUUGGGGUACGCGUUGGAGCUAGUGAGGAAGGCCAAGGCGGACGUGACGGAGGAAUACAUGAGAUCGUUGGCUGACCUCAUGGUUAUUAAGGGUAGGCCCCACUUCACGGUGGUGAAUUCUUACCUUAUGUCUGAUGUGACACGUGCUGGGUUCGGAGAAGUGGAUUUUGGGUGGGGGAAAGCGGCUUAUGGUGGGCCAGCGAAGGGCGGGGUCGGGGCAAUACCUGGAGUGGCUAGCUUUUACAUACCGUUUAGAGACAACAGAGGGGAAGAUGGGAUCGUGGUUCCGAUUUGUUUGCCGGCGGCGGCGAUGGAGAUAUUUGUGAAGGAACUAGAUACCAUGUUGAAUGCGGAUGAAGAACCGAUUAGGGUUCAAAGCUCUACCAGUUUUAUUACGUCUGCCCUGUAGUAUAUGAGUUUCUGCUCGACAAUAUGUAUGUCGUACUGCGUGCAUGUAUUUAUUUGCUUUUAUUUUCCCUAAUUAGUUUCUUUUCUACUGUAAUAUGGAUGUCUCCUUGAUACUACAGAUGCUUUGGUUACGAAAGCAAAAUUAGUUGGGGGUAGUUUUUUCGCAAAUUGACUUUUAUACCCUUUGUAAAUUUCCUACGUGGACAACACACGGUAAGGAUAAUGAAAUGUUGGAUGGAAAAUUUGAAAACUUCAUGAAAUGGAGAAAUUGAAUAAUUAUAAAAUUUCAAGAGAGUAAUCAACGAAUGGAGAAAACUAGCAAGUGAGAGAAUUCUAGUCUUUUAGAGGGGUACUUUUCAAACUUAUGAAUUCUGUAGAAAAGAGAAAAGGAUUGAAAAUGGGCCAAACCAACGACCAGUCACAUUAGCAUUCUAAUCGGAAUUUCCGCUAAUUUUUCAGUAGCUAAGCUUUGUUCUUUCUGGGUUAGGAAUUUAGGGGAGGGAAGGGAAGGGAAAGCAAAAUUAGUUGGGGGUAGUUUUUUAGCAAUUUGACUUUUUUACCCUUUAUAAAUUUCUUACAUGGACAACACGCGGUAAAGAUAAUGAAAUGUUGGAUGGAAAAUUUUAAAACUUAACGAAAGGGAGAAAUUAAAUCAUUAUAAAAGUUUAGAAAAGUAAUUGGCUAAAAUUAAAAUUUAGUAGAAAAAUUACGCAUUACAAGUUUAUAGGAUUAAUCGGCAAAUAUUUUUUUUUCCAAAUAUUCCUCGAUCUCAAUCUCUCCCUUACAUCCCUCUCGUACAAUGUAAAUAUAAUCAACGAAAUCGAAAAGUUAUUUAGUUUUGAUGUACUGCGACAUAUCUUUUGCAUUUUUGUCUUUAUAUAAUUUUACGAUCUUAUCUCAUUGAUUUUUCUUUGCAUCAACAAUACCAUCAAAUAUAGGGGUGGGCACGGCCUGGUCGGGCCCAAAUUUAAUGAAACCGGACCCUAUCCAAUUAGAGUGAAAUAGGACGGGACGGGGUGGAUCAUUGCAUUUUCAAAAAUGUAACCGGACUUAACUCGAUCCGUUUGAAAUGGGCCAAAAGGGUCAGUCCCAACGGGUCCAUUUCCUGAUCCAAUUCCAAACAGAAAAACCUAAUGUAAAUUUUUGAAGACAAUGUGUGAGUAAAGCUUGUGUUUCUGUUCUAUUUCUUUUUUGGCAAAAAUCCCUAAUUUGGUUGUUUUUUUUUUUUUUUAAGAGUAACGGCGUCUAAGGAUGAUUUGGAGCCAGGAAAAAAUCCCUAAUUUUCUCUACUUCUUGAGAUCGACGUGGCUUCCUGGACUAUUUUCACUGAGGUUUCUCGCUUCAAAUCAGUAUGUUCUAUAGCUCUGUUCGAAUUCGUAUGAAAAAGUAGUGAAUUAUUUGUUGUUUGUAGGUUUUUUGAAAUGGAUUUUUUUGUGUGGGAUUUAUUGGAAUAUUUUGGGUUUGUUGGGUUUUGCUGCCCUGACCUUGCUGAUGAGUGGUCAUGUAAGGUUAUUAAAACUUUUUAAAUUUUUGGGUUUUGCUGUAAUUAAUUAAAGAUUUGAUAAAGACAUUAUUUAUUUCGUGGAAUUCCUUUUAAACAUUAGAAUUUGCUUUGUCUCACAUUUGAUGAUUUGGGUAUUGAGCAGCGAUGCAUUGAUGAUAAUCUGUUUAUAAAAAGGAGCCAUUUUUUAUGAUGAGAGUAGAAGAGUUGCCACAACGCUCGAGGUCACCAACCCCAAUGCUAAUCCAGGGAAAAUAAUUCGGACAAGAUUAGAAAAAAAAUGAUUAAGGUAAAUAAUAAGCCUUAUAUAAUUUGUUACAUUAUCAAUCAGUAAUUUAUUGGUCGUACGUCUGCAAGUGUGGUGUCAAAUUUCGAUAGCCAAAUAGAAGGUUAUGGGGGUUUUGUAUAUUUGAGUGUUAUACUUUUUUAGAAUGAUCUUUGCUGGUGUUCUUUUUGGUUGCAUAUACGAAUUACAAAUCAGCGAGAUUGCACACUCCUCAUUGCGUUGUUGAUAGGAGUAUAUUUAUGCGACUUAGUUAACUUGUUUUCUUGCAUUUUCAUAGUUAGUUUCUACUUAUUAGAGUGUUUUAAGCUAUUUUCGUGUGUUUAUAGGUCCAAAUGACAAAGUUGCCAAAAAAGUGCAAUUUGGAGCAUUUUAGAGCUGUUGUGGGCCAGAAAUAGAUAGCACAUGCAUGGAGCAAGGUGGAUGGACGUUUUUAAAGUUCAAGAGGUUAGGAAUAUGCUGAAGAGAUGAAGAAAAUAAAGUCAAGAUAAAGAAGAUAAGGAAUCAACUAAAAAGAAGGAACGUUAUCCAAAACAUUAUCCAACUUAUCUUAUCUUAUCUUAUCCUAACAUUAUCCUAAUCAUAUUCUACCUUAAUUCCAGCUGCAAGGGGGACUUAUUUUCAGAUUAGGAUACCUACAAAUCAGGUUUCUAGAAGCCAAGAUCCUAUCCCUAAUUUGGUGCCGCACCUAGCCCUUCUAGAAGCUAUAUUUCCUGAUGCAAGGACUACUUCUUUUCCUCCCUGAAAUUUGAUGAGAAUUGUCCUUGUUCUUUGCUGAUUUGGAGUCCUAAUUCAGCCUUUUUGCCAUGCCUUCCAUCUUCCUAUAAAUACAUAGUGCCGCAUAAGUCAUAAACCACCCUAUUUCUCAUCAUAAAAUUGCACCACACACCCAUCCUACACAGAAACCUCUUUGUGCCGCAGCUUUGCAAGGAGAAAUGAGAGGAGACCUUUUGCCGUGCCCUGCCAUUCAAGCUUGGAUUGCUGAAGAAUUCUUAGGUGUAUUCUAUCUUUUAAUUUCAAUGUUUAAUUUAAGUUAUCUUUGUUUAAGUGCGAACAUGAGGAACUAAACUCGAUUUAGCUAGAGAUGAAUUUAAAGCCAUGAACAUAUAUUGCAUAUGAAUUGAUUACAUCCAGUUAUAAUUUCAUAAAUCAUGAAUGCAAUUUGCUUAACUGUUUAAUUCAGAAUUUGUUCUUGUAUAUUGAUUAAGGAUGCAUACUUAGUUUGCAUGUAUGAAUUUGAUGCUAAAAUAUAAGGGAGUUUUACCUAAUAGUUAUGAACUUAUAUUUAAAAGUAGUGGAGGUCACUAGUCAUGAUCGUGUUAAGUAAAUUCCUGACAGGAGUAUCAUGUUGUUCAUAGUUACGAAUGUCUUGUCAAUGCUUAUGAUUUUCAUAGAACUUAAUGAUCUUUGAUAUGUAUCUCUAUCAUGUUAUUCGUGUAGGGAACUUGAUAAGAAUAAUUUGGUUGCAAUGCUGAGUCCAAUUCAAUGAACUUAGGAAAAUUUGAGGGUUAAUUAGUGUUGUUCACGGUUAAUCUAGGGUGUUGCCAUUCAUGGUUUAUAGAAAGAGUAACUGGAAAUCGGUUCGUAUGCAUAUGUGUCAUGUGUGGAGAAGGACCCUCUAGCUAGCCAUUCACCCAUUAAAUCACCCAAUUUCGUUCAAAGUUAAUUAGAGUCUUAAAUCUGUUUAGUUUUAGUCUUAAAUUCGUCAAAAACCAAUCUCCCCUUUAUAUUUCGUGUCUUUAGGUUAGAAUAUGUCCAAAUUGGUUUCUUUUCAUUGUUUUAAGUCUUUUUAGUUUAGAAUUCGUCCAAAGUCAUCCUUAGUGUUAGUUUUGAAUAAGUUUGCUUGUUUUGUCCUGUUUUGAGUAGUUUGAGUUAGUUUUGAGUCAUAAGAGUCUAGUUUAGUGUUUUUAAGUCUAGUUAAGUAAAAUUGAGUCUAAUUUGAGUAUAUUAGUAGUCCUUCCUAAUCCCCGGCCUAAAACGAUCCUUACUUAUCCAUACUACAAUUGUCAAAAAGAGGAUUUAAUUUGUGUGUUAAUUUAUACCACAUCAGUUGUAAGUUCAAUUACUCAUCCUAUAAGAAUUGCUUCAUAAUUGUAAUAUUCAAAACCAGAUGGUUUUUUCGAUUGUGAUUCAAUUGUUAUUUUCCUUUCCAAUUGUUGUUCUUCAUUUUUGUUUCGGUUUGUGGCUGUGGCUUCCAUUAAUUAAAUCUCACGUCUUCUCAACCACCCCAAAGCCAAAUAUUUGAUUUUUCACUGUGGUUUGUUACUGCAAUCACAAAUUUAAUUUCAUUUUUUGCUCUUAUGUGUUCUUGGUAGAUCUGAGUGCCCUCCCCUCACUUUCUCGAUUAUCAACUGGUUCUUCUUGCUUGGUCUAAUUGGGUAUGUUAAGAAUUUUAUCUGUUAGUAAAAUCUCAGGCGAGAAUUUUUUGACCGACAGUUUUUUUUUUUUUUUUUUAAAUAUUUAUAUUGCCGAAUGAAUGUGGAAUUCCUUCGGAGUCUCUGCAAGUUUAGAGUAAGGUAUGUUGUUGUUUUGAAUGUGCAUUUUGUGAGUUGGGAUGUUUUAAUGAGAAUGUUUUGAAUUUAGUGGAAUCUCAAUCUUAAUGGGUUUUUAUGAUGUGCCUUAUCACUGAAUUUAUCUGCAUUUUUCUAAUGUUGGUCUUGGGAUUGUGAUGACUGCAUUGUGUGGAUUUUGUUUGAAUUGCCAAAUUUUGUCAAAGAUUUGAGAGUGGUUCUUGAAUGAAUUUGGAUUAAUAUAUACAAUGUCACAUUCCAGUCUUGAUUCCGUCGUAACACGAUAUUAUCCGUUUUAGGUCCCAGCCACGUUCUCAUGGUUUUGUUUCUGGGAACUUACACGAGAACUUCUUAGUGGGUCACCCAUCCUGGGAAUGCUCUCGCCCGAACUUGAUUAACUUCGGAGUUCCGAUGGAAUCCUAAGCCAGUGAGUUCCCAAAAUGCCUCAUGCUAUAGGAGGUGGGCAUGUACAUAUAAGGCACAUCACUUCCUCUCCGUUGGUCGAUGUGAGAUGUUACAAUCCACCCCCCUUAGGGGCCCGACGUCCUUGUCGGCACAAUUGCACCACACACAGAGUGACUCUGAUAUCAUUCUGUCACAACCCAGUCUCGACUCCGCCGUAGCGUGAUAUUGUUCACUUUAGGACCCGGUCACGCCCUCACAGUUUUGUUUUUGGGAACUCACAUAAGAACUUUCCAAUGGGUCACCCAUCUUGGGAAUGCUCUCGUCCGAACUCGCUUAACUUCGAAGUUCCGAUGGAAUCCGAAGUUAGUGAAUUCCCAAAAGGCCUCAUGCUAUAGGAGGUGGGCAUGUACAUAUAAGGCAUAUCACCCCCUCUCCGUUAGUCAAUAUAAGAUGUUACAUACGAGGGUAACAAGUGGGAUGUAAAUAAAAAAAGGGCCUAAAUGUGACAAUUUAUGGGUUUAGAUUCAUUGGAAAUUAUGAAAGAAUAUUGCAUGGUUUAUGAUUAAUGUGAAAAAUUGGUACUUUUGUAGUGAUAUAUGCUUUUGGAGAAAGUUGUAAAAUUUGAUACUUUCUAGCUUUAAUCUACUCAUUCAUAACUUCGGAUAUAUAAAGUUAAGAUAGAUUACUGUUACAUUAUGAGCGUGAAAUGUGAAGAAACAUAAAAAUUGCAAACAAAAAGUGAACUACAAGAUCGAGCACUUAUGGUGCCUCCAGUUGUCAAUUUUUGAGAGGAGUCUUUAUCUUGACCAUGAAGUUCACAAAAUUCUUGAUGGCUGUUGACAAUAUAUGGAAAUCCCUAAGUCAAAUAUUAUAAAUGUAAUAUAUAUGUGUAAGUGUAUGUAAAUUCAUGAUUUGAGAUAUAAAAUUAAGGAGAAAAAUAUAAAUUUAAGGAAGCUGUUAUUGGCACCCCACAAUAGUUAUCUUGCACUCGAAAUUUAGACAACCACAAAGAAAAUUUUGUGUGAUUGCAGCUCAGAAAUGGGAUGAUCAAGAUAGUAGCUCAGAAAUAAUGACACUCAAAUUCAAUUAUAAAUCAUACCCUAUGUAUAAUUGAAGCUCAUAAAUGGGAACAAGAUAGUAGGAAUUCAAUUCAUUAUUAUAAUUCAAACAUGUUGAAGUUUCUUUUUGCACUUGGUAACCGUUGUAGGAAAAGUAAGUGUUGAAAGUAACUGGCAUUUUCUGUGUCAUCGCUCAUUUCUUCUAAAAAAUGUCUUGCACAAAUCAAGAAGAACGAGGACAAGGGAGACGGGGAGAUCUAGACUGAUCGACAGAGUUCCUUUUUGUUUUUCCGUUGUCUUAAGGUAUAGAUCCCUUCAUUUAAUUUAGUUUAUUUUAUUUUAUUUUAUUUUUAGGAGCAGUUUGAAGGAUUAAAAUGUUCUCAUUUGGUGUAGAUGAUCUUGGUUUAGCAAAUUGGCAGCGAGAUUGCACACUCCUCACUAUGUUGUAAGUUUGACUUACUUUUCUUAUAAAAAUUGCUUCAUAAUUGUAAUAUUCAAAACCCGAUGGCUUUUUCGACCGUGAUUUGAUUGUUAUUUUCCUUUUCAAUUGUUGUUCUUCAAUUUUGUUUCAGUUUGUGUUUGCAGUUUCCAUUUGAUGUAAUCCCUCCUCUCAGUUUCCUUUUUAGAAAUUUUUUUCUUUUCCUGUUCACAAUGUUUAUAUUUUUCUCCAUGAUGGAAGUUUUAGUUUUAGGGUCUAUGCUUUCAUUUUUGGUUACGAAUGUGCAUAUAGCUAUAGGUUCUUUUUUUUUUUUUUUUUUUUUUUUUAAAUUUAGAUCCUGCAAGUUCGAGGCAUUGGUGAUGGAAAUAAAUUUGUUGCAAUCAAUUACAAAUCAUAUGGGCAGAGGUUUCCAUAUUUGGUAAAUUAGUUUUACCAAGUGUUCUUCCUAAUAGGUAAUAGAUCACCCAUUAUUGUUAUUAGAUUCGAAUUGAUUCCAAUGAGUGCACAUAUAUAAUUUGAAUUUGAUUCCUUUGCUUCAUAGACAAAUUUUUGAAUUUCUUUCUCUAUUUCUCUCUUAAUUUUAGUCAACCACGCUAGGCAAAAUGAAAACAGACCCAUUAGAUUAAGGAAGUUCAACGCUACUCAUUAUCCUUAUUGUGGAUAGGAUUGUAAAUAGAUUUGCCACAUAUAUAUAAAUAGAAUAUCUUAUCAUAUAUAGAUUUAAAAACUUUCUACAUAUUUUGUAUAGUUUCAAAAUCCGCAGCAUCGCGGACAAUCUUGCUAGUCCUAACUAGAACCAAGAUGCAGAAAAUCCCAAAUCUAGAAUUUGUAUCCACUUAAUACCUGACUAGAACCACAUGCAGAAAACACCAAAUCAGACAAAGAACAAAAAAAAAAAAAAAAAAAAAAAAAACCCAAAUCAAGUAAAACUCGACAAAUCUCCUUAAAGGUUAUCUUGAAGGAUCUCAAACUACAAAAAAGCAAACUAGGAUCGACGGAGGCCUCGAUCAACGAAGAUGGUCAUGUGGGUGGGACGGACCUCGAUCGACGGAGACGGGGAUGAAACUGAAUCGACGAAGAACAGACAGAAACGGGGAUGAGGCAACGACGAACGGACUGAUAGGGAUGAGAGUUCAAAGGGAGGGGAGUCUGCUAGGGAGAGAGAAAUCGAGAAAGUGACUCUCUCAGUUCGAGGGAUGAAAGUCGGUUUCGGGUUGUACAGCUACAGACUCUGUGACUCUGUUGUGUUGUGUGUUGGGGAAUUGAAAGAGGGAAUUGGAUCCUCGCCGGAUCUAAUUCAUGGGAAUCGUAUGGAUCAACUCAUAUGGACCGUUGAUAAAAAAUCGUGCGAUCAUAAUUUUUUUCUUUUUUAUAUUUUCACGUAAAACGAGACUGUUUUACUUUUAAAACAUUUAAUUGUGACCGUAUGAUUUUUGAUCAACGGCCUACGUGAGUUGAUCCCUAGGAUCCCCAGCAAUUAGAUCCGGCGAUGAUCCAAUUCCUUGAAAGAGAAGGGUGGAGAUUUAUAUGGAAGAAAGGUUGGACCACUAAAAAAAGAAAUGCGGCAACGAAAGUAUGUGGUUGGGAAAUGGACCUGGAUUGUCUGCUCUCUUAGUUACCAUGCCCUUCCAUACCCUCCUACUUUUUAGCCAUUAACUUCAUUUAAUGCUCCAGAUUUUGUCACUUCACCAACAGCUCCAAAACAUCUUUAAAGCCUCCCGCCUCUUCCACUUUUCCUAAUCUUCACUCUCCUGCCUCUUCCAUUUUUAUGCUGCCUUUCCCGUGGUGCCUUUCCGAUUGCUGCCUUUCCUGUCACCUCCUUCCGAUUCGCCUAAUUGCUCUAAUCUUCCCAGGUCAGUUUAUGUUAAUUUUCUUUGCUUGGCCGAUUCGCCUAAUUGGGUGGAUCGGUGCGGUGAGUAAUCUAAUGGUUUUGAAGAAUUCCUGGAAAAGUGGGUGCGGUGAGUAAUCCAAUUGUAUGGCAUAAAAAAAUGAAGGAUUUUCAACUGUCUUACCUUGAAAAUAUCUUAACAAGCUUCUUGCUUCACCAUACAUCAUUUUUCUUUGCCUUUUAGACAAAAGAUAGUUCUUCUGAUCAACCUUUGUAUAACCAAGAGAUUCCAUUCCUCCAACAUGCUUAGCCAUCAACAUAAGAUUCCCGAAGUGGGAUACCAUAUUCUUUUGCCAAGUCUAACUCAGCAGCCUGAGAGUCUGAUAUUUUUCGCUGAGAUUGUAGCAUAUGUGUAUACUCUGGUUUUUGAAGAGCAUGAUUGUGUUGUUCCUCAAAUUCAUACACAAAAAACCUUCCAUUAGAUCUAUUCAACUUAAUAACCAUUUUAGCAUGACAACCUAUCCGUGUCCCUGCCCUUGGCUUCUUUCUUGUAAUCCGGCUUAUCUUGAAGCUUAAAACCCUCCUUACUACAAGCAAAAAUUCUUGAAGUGACUUCAUUAGUUUUCUUAUUCUUGUAGUGAUGAUCUUUUCUAAUACUAAAUCCCACUUUUCGUCCGUAGGCAUUGUAUAAAUUAUAGGCUGCUUCUUGCGAAUCAAACUCCAUACCACACCUCGAUGUACAAUCAAAUUCGUUCGAGUCAUCAUUGUUGAUAUUAUUUGCUUCUUCAGAAUCAAUCAUUUUCAAUCGGAUCUGCAGUAUAGAAAAAGGUAUGGUACAUAAAAAAAUCAACAUUUCAAAGUUGUUUCUUACGGAGGUUGUGGGUAAUCUAGAACAAAACCCUCUCUAGAUUUUCAAAAAUCAACAUUUCAACAUUAAACAGAUCCCACGAAUCUUUCUUGUUCUCAAUUACUUUAGAAGAACAAAUAACGGGACAUAUUAAAUCGGAAAAAGAGGACCCCAACAUGUUAUAAAAAAAGAAAAUACAAAUCCAAUAGCAAAAACAAGCAAAGAAAUUAACAUAAAUUGACCUGGGAAGAUUAGAGAAAUUAGGCGAAUCGGAAGGAGGUGACGGCAAAGGCAGCAAUAUGAAAGGCACUACGGGAAAGGCAGCAGAAAAGUGGAAGAGGUGGGAGAGUGAAGAUUAUGAAAAGUGGAAGAGGCAGAAGGCUUUAAAGAUGUUUCGGAGUUGUUGGUGAGGUGGCAAAAUCUGGAACAUUAAAUGAAAUCAAUGGCUAGAAAAGUAGAAGGGCGGAUUGUCUGCCCUCCUAGUUACCAUGCCCUUCCAUACCCUCCUAUUUUUCUAGCCAUUGAUUUCAUUUAAUGCUCUAGAUUUUGACAUCUCACCAACAGCUCCAAAACAUCUUUAAAGCCUCCCGCCUCUUCCACUUUCCAUAAUCUUCAUUCUCCCGCCUCUUCCACUUUUCUACUGCCUUUCUUGUAGUGCCUUUCUGAUUGCUGCCUUUCCCGUCACCUCCUUCCAAUUCGCCUAGUUUCUCUAAUCUUCCCAGGUCAAUUUAUGUUAAUUUUCUUUGCUUGUUUUUGCUAUUGGAUUUGUAUUUCUUUUUUAUAACAUGUUGGGGUCCUCUUUUUCCGAUUUAAUGUGUCUCAUUAUUUGUUCUUCUAGAGUAAUUCACAAGAGAGAUUCGUGGGAUCUGUUUAAUGUUGAAAUGUUGAUUUUUGAAAAUCUGGAGAGGGAUUUGUCUAGAUUGCCCACAACCUUCGUAAAAGAAACAACUUUGAAAUGUUGAUUUUUUUUCUGUACCAUACCUUUUCCUAUACUGCAGAUCCGAUUAAAAAUGAUUGAUUCUGAAGAAGCAAAUAAUAUCAACAAUGAUGACUCGAACGAAUUCGAUUGUGCACCGAGGUGUGGUAUGGAGUUUGAUUCGCAAGAAACAACCUAUAAUUUAUACAAUGUCUACAGACGAAAAGUGGGAUUUAGUAUUAGAAAAGAUCGUCACUACAAGAAUAAGAAAACUAAUGAAGUCACUUCAAGAUUUUUUGCUUGUAGUAAGGAGGGUUUUCGGCUCCAAGAUAAGCAAGAUUACAAGAUAAAGAAGCCAAGGGCAGCGACACGGACAGGUUGUCAUGCUAAAAUGAUUAUUAAGUUGAAUGGAUCCAAUGGAAGGUUUUUUGUGCAUGAAUUUGAGGAACAACACAAUCAUGCUCUUCAGAAACCAGAGUGUGCACAUAUGCUACAAUUUCAGCGAAAAAUAUCAGACUCUCAGGCUGCUGAGUUAGACUUGGCAAAAGAAUCUGGAAUCUUGCUUUGGGAAUCUUAUGAGUUGAUGGCUAAGCAUGUUGGAGAAAGGGAAUCUCUUGGUUAUACAAAGGUUGAUCAGAAGAACUAUCUUUUGUCUAAAAGGCAAAGAAAAAUGGUGUAUGGUGAAGCAUGAAGCUUGUUGAGAUAUUUUCAAGGUAAGACAGUUGAAAAUCCUUCAUUUUUUAUGCCGUACAAUUGGAUUACUCACCGCACCCACUUUUCCAGGAAAUCUUCAAAGCCAUUAGAUUACUCACCGCACCCGAUCCACCCAAUUAGACGAAUCGGCCAAGCAAAGAAAAUUAACAUAAACUGACCUAGGAAGACUAGAGAAAUUAGGCAAAUCAGAAGGAGGUAACGAGAAAGGUAGCAAUCGGAAAGGCACUACGGGAAAGGUAGCAGAAAAGUGGAAGAGGCGGGAGAGUGAAGAUUAGGAAAAGUGGAAGAGGUGGGAGGCUUUAAAGAUGUUUUGGAGCUGUUGGGUAGGUGGCAAAACAUGGAGCAUUAAAUGAAAUCAAUGACUAGAAAAGUAAGAGGGUAUGAAAGGGCAUGGUAACUAGGAGGGCAGACAAUCCAGGUCCUUGGGAAAGGGGUAGGAUUCUCUCUCUUUUUUUUUUUCUUUUUUCCUUUUCCUUCUUAUUUGAACGGUUAUAGUUAAGUCACGUCAACAUAUUAUAUUAAUUUUUUAUAGAAAGAGAAUGACAAAAUAGAGAAUGUGAAAGAAGGGGAUGAGAAAUGAUAGAAAAAUGAGGGAAGAGAAUCCUAGUCGGUUGGAAAAUGUGCGCUAUGAAACUUUUUGUUGGAGUGUUUUUGCAAAAAUCCCAUCGGUGGAAGAUUUUAGAAACAAUUUAAGGGGGGUGUAUUCAAUUAGGAUUCUGAGAGAGUUUCAGGGAAUUAAUAAUUCUAGGGGUAUUCAAUUAGGAUUUUAAGUGAUUCUCUGAAAUUCUAGGUGUAUUCAAUUAGAAUUUUAAAAUAGUUUAUUAAAAUCCUUAGAAAUCCAGGUGUAUUCAAUUAAGAUUUUAAAGAAGUUUAUAACAUUCCAGGUGUAUUCAAUUAGAAAUUGAUUUUAAAGAAUUUGAGAAAGUUGAAGAAUUAGAGGGAAUUGGAGAGAUUUCGUAGUGUAUUUUAAGUAUCUACAAAUCUCACCUCUUCCCAUGAGAUUUCGAGGGAAUUGAAUCAAAAUUUUAUAUGGAAUCUCUACAAAUCAAUUAAACUCCAUAAAAAUCCAUGAAUUUAUAAAUCCAUUAAAAUCUCUCACAUUCUCAAUUGAAUACACCCGCCUAAAUUUUGUGGUUAGAUAACACUUGUGGUAACAACUCAAUUUGCGUUAUAAAUAACCUAAGUGGCUAAACUAUUACAUCACAUUAGACCUUGACGUAGUUCGUGAUAAAUAAAAUAACCGUGGACGGAUUGAACUACUAUUUUAAAAGAGUUCACUUCUAUAAUAGGUCUGGACGAAAGAAUUUGGCGAAGGCAACAAAUUAUUUUGUUGCAAAAAUACUUAAGGUUUAAAAUAAAUAACUCCUUGUGUUGACGAGAUGAAGGACCUUAAGAGCCUCCAGACAAAACACUAAAUUAGAGAACAAACUUGUUUUAGGUUCAGUUUGCUCCCCUAAUAAUAGGAUCACACAAUUGUAAUCUUGCUUAACGAAAGAUUAAACUGGUAAAUUUAUAAUGAUCAAGAGCUAUUAAAAUACUACCUAAUUAUCAAUUUUUAUUUUAGUGUAAGGGUUGUAUAAUAUUUGGUUAUAAGAUUUUAAAGAGCCACUUAGGGAUGCUCUCAUCUCAUGCUAGUGUGCUUAUUAUGGGUGACCAAAGUUUCAACUAAAUUUGGGCCGGGUUUGAAAAUUUAUUUUUUAGGGAUAGGAUUAUCUCCCCUCCUCUUUCCAUCCAUUUUCAUUCCCUUUUCUCACAUUUUCUAUUUUAUCUUUCUCUUUUCAUAAAAAAUUCAUAUAAUAUGUUGACGUAGUUUAACCGUAAUCGUUCAAAUAGAAGGGGAGGGAAGAGAAAAAAAAAAUAGGGAAGAUAAUCCUACUUCUAUUUUUUGCUGUAGAAUUUAAAUGAUUUGGCCUUUUCUCCUUCUUUUUGGGGUUCAACCCCAUAAAUCUUUUGGACUCCUACUGUCGAAGGAUAUACCAGGGCUUUGGGCCUCAGCGUUGGGUUUGGGUACUAAACCAAUGAAUAUAACGAACAAAAAGAAUGAACCUUCACAUACAACUUUAACCAAAUUAGUUCUAAUUUUCCCUGUGGGUUUGAUAAAAAGAAAUUCAAAAGAAGAAAGAUGACCUAAAUUUUGAUGGGUUAUUCUCAAAUUUUUAACAACUUAAUGCCAUCUCACAACCCACUCACUAGAAUUUGGAAAAACAUUUAGGUAACUCAAGUAUUAUAUUUCUCUUCAAGUGGUUUGUAGUACAGUUGAUUAAGAGUAGUCGUAUUUGCAGUCGAGGUUCUAUUUCGAAUCCCUUCUCCGUAGUUUAGUGUAGUAUACUAUUAUUUGUUAAAAGAAGGUAUUAUAUUUCUUUAAGGAACAAGACAUGUGUAAUAGAAAACUAACGAAAGGGUCUCACAAACUUAUUUUUUUUAUCCAAACGCUUAAUAAUAAUUUUUUUUAAAUUAUAAGAACAAAUUGUAAUAUUCGAUCAACUUCUCGCAAACAAUAAACAUAAUGAAUCAGCGGCAGCCUUCAUUAGUACAUCCCAAUGGGAUCCUCUGCCUAUACAUUACAUUAUACAUACAUUGAAACUUGUGGCCCCAUGUGCAAAGGCGUUGCAUCUUUCAGUAGCCAAGCUACAAAAUUAUGGAUAAUGCUAGGGAUAUUAAAUUCGUAAACCAAAUAAUAUGUCUCCAAUAAGAAACAAACAUGUUAAUCGAUAUUUAAUCAAAAAUUUAAUUAUCUACAACCGCAUCAUUUAGUUUACAAAGUUGGUUAAAAAAUUUGAUUUUCCUAGCAGUACUCCAAAAUUAUAAGGUUGUGAAGGACCUAAAUGCGUUUGUAAUUGAAGGGCUGGCUCAAUAAUUAAUGUCACCUGUAUCCAACGAGAGUAUUAAUGUCAUGUGUAACCGACGCUAAUAAUCUUCUAUCCGACAUCAUUGACCUUUUUAAAAAAAAAAAUUUAAAUGCUUUCCUUUUUCUUGGUGGAUUAAGAGUGCUAUUCGAGAGAAAAAGCAUUUUCCUGAUGCUAGUAUUUUUGUCGCUUAUCCGCCAUUACAGUCAUUUUCUAUUGGAUUUUACCUAAUAUCCACCGUAAAUUAGCUUCUCUUGUCAUUUUUUAAAAGGGUACUUAAGGGGUUAUUUCGUAGUAGUGUGAUUGAGAUUUCAAUCCGAUCUUGUGAUUAAAUAAAUAUUGAUUAAGUAAAUUUAUAUUGCAAGGCCAUUUUCAUUAAAACUCUCUUUAUAUAAUACAGACAUUAGCCAAAAAUCUAGUCACCUUGUAAGAUUCAGAGAAGUGGGUCAAAAGCAAAGUGUGAUUUUAUCCUAAGGGGCUCAAUGUAAUUAUGAGUGAAACACCAAUGUUGUGUCGACCAAGUAUUCGGUCGCAGUACAUAAACAAACUAUGAUACUAUGUCGCUACUUAGUAUUACGGUUUAAUGAUAUUCAUUUUCACUUAUAAUGAGAGAUCUUUGGUUCAAUUAUUGCUAGCCCAUCCCUCUCCCCCUUAGCGUAGAUAAGAGUAAUGCUAGGGAGACUAAAUUUGUAGACUAAAUUGAUAAACCAAAUGAGGUGUCACAAUAAAAAAUGAGCAUGUUUAUAUUAAGUGUGGAGCCAAUAAUAUUCACUAGGCGCCACGUGGAUUUUUAGACAAAAAGGACAAAAAUACCAUUGAGGCAUACCGGGAUUCCAACGCGCAAGCAGUGGGCAAUCAUCUUUCAACCAAGUCAAAAAUGCUCAAAAUAGGUAACAAUUUAAAGCCUAUUUCAUCAAAUCCUUUCUAUAAGGUAAUCCCAAAACCUAAUUUAUUUAUUUAAUAUGUUUUAUAUUCCAUUAUUUAGCUAAUAAAUUAGCUAAAUAAUAUAUUCCUUCCAUAUUUCCUAAAAUUGACUAAUUAAGGGAUUAAUUACCUAAUCAAUCCCUUAAUUAUCAAUUAAACCACCAAAUUAUAACCAAAAAACACCAAAGGCCGGUUACCCACUAGGGCCGGCCAUGCCUUUUAUUUUUUUUGCUUUUUGCUACCAUUUUCUUUCCCUUUUAUGACAUUCAAAUAGCUAGUUAAUUAGGUUAUUAUUAUUUGCUAAUUAACUAGCCAAUUAUUUCCAUAACUCCCCAAAAUAACUAGCCCAUUAUCUCCAUAACCCUCCAAAAUAAAUCAUCCUUGGCCUAAUGGCCGGCCACACCCUUCCUCUCCUAUAGAUUGGUUCCCAUUUUCACCAAACACUAAUUCCAACAUUUUGGCAAAAAUCCCAAAAUUCUCUAAACACUCUUUUUCUCUAAAUUCUAACUUUGGCAUCGGAGGUUCUUCGGCCAAAGCCCCCCCCCCCCCAAUUCAUCGUGGGCGUGUGAGGCUCUUGGCUUUAACCUAAGAUGUUAAUUGUUUUGUAGGUGCAAAAUUGUCCAAGAUCAAGAGGAAUAAAUUUGCAUCCACAUUAAGUAAUAAUCCAAUCACCAACUUUAAUGUCCUUUAGUUUACAAAUUGAGUCUCCCCAGCAUUACUUGAGCAGAUAAUAUUAUUUGUUCAAAAAAAAAUACAAAAUACAAAAAAACUAUGAUACCAUGUCAAGGUUAAAGAUACGGGCAAGUAAGGGAAGGAAUAUAUAUAUAUAUUUUUUUUGGGAUCAAUUGUUUAUGGGAAUAGAAUAAGAGAAUUGUUAAUAGCAUUCUAAAAAUAUCAUUCUAUAUUCCUCCCAAGUGUAUUUUUAUUUCUAAUAAUAGAAAGGUUAGAGUGCACAAUGAGAUUUUUUGGAAUGCCAAUAACAAUUCUCUAGAAUAAUAAGGAUAAUGCUAUUCACACUUAUUUUUACUUUUCACACUCUUGUUAAUAUUUAGUCAUUUAUCUUCUUCAAAUCAUUUGAUCUAAUGGUUGAAAAUUAAAAAGGUAUGUAAAAGGUAAAUGUGAGUGUGAAUAUCAGUACUUGAACAAUAAUGGUACAGACUAUAAAAUCAAAGGGCUAUUUUUUCUUUUGUCUCUUUAUUAUGAUUUCCGGCAGCUGGAUUUUGACCCUUUCUGAGUAGUUUCUCUAUCUUCCCAUUUGCUGAUUAAUUUUUUGUUUAUGCAAUAAUAUUAAAACUUAAAACAAGGUAAAUAUACUACAGCAAAUAUGCAUGUCAACCUAACAGAGAGGCAAAUGACCAAAUUGACCAAUAUGAACGUGGUAUCAGCAGAAAUUUGUUCCUCAAUAUUCAAUGAGGAGGUAAGAUUUUAAGCGUCAUUUCACAUUAUUUUCCAGUAACUAGGGUAGGAGUAGUUUGGCAAAAUAUUCUAUUAUAUGUAAUUUUCGUUGAAGGAGUCACACAACCAAUAAAGGGGUUUUUAAAAAAAAAAAAAAUUAAUUGUGAUUAGGAUUGGAUAUAUAUAUAUAUAUAUAUAUAUAUAUAUAUAUAUAUAUAUAUAUAUAUAUAUAUAUAUAUAAUAAGCAUGUAUUACCUUAAUGAAUAAGCAUUCACGAAUUCUUCCCUCCUGUUCCAUGAAACAAAAAGCUAGACGCCAAACUAUGUUUACCAAGUUGUUUUUAAUUAAUAUGAAAACAUGAGCAGGCGAUUAUAGUUUAUAAGUAUGUUAAGUCAAAUCUGCAGUCGGUAAGAGUUCGCAAAAGUGUUAGAAAGGUUAUCUUUUUCAAUACAUAUGAUAUUUUACAUUAAAUUAAGGGAGACUUUGGAUGCGGUCCCUAGUUACGAAUAUUUUUUAACUGAAACCUUGUUGGUUUUUAAUUUUUUAUUGAGAUCCCUGACAUUAAUGUGAUAAUUUAUUUCUAUGUACGUUACUAUAUUUUUUUAAUUAAAAAUUAGAAAUUUUAGUUCUUUAUAUAAAUGAGAUUUUAAAUAAAAAAAACCAUAAUUUGUGGGAUUAAAAAUAUUAAAAUAUAAAUAUACUAUUGUGUGUGUGUGUGUGUGUGUACAUGGGUACAUUCAUCAAAAUUAACCAAAAAAAAUUAUUGUAUCAAAACAUGGGUACAUUCUUCAAAAUCACAAAAAAAAAAAAAGAUAUUAGGCUUAACAACAGUAGUAAAUUUCUUCGAUUAAACUUGACAUGGAUACAUUUUAAAAUCAAAGAAAAAAGAAAGUACCCAUAUAAGUUUAAAAAUGGAUUAGAAAAAAUUUGAAUAGAUUUUAUAUAUAAAAAAAAGGGGUACAUUUUACAUAUAACAAAUUAGUAUAUUUAAGAAUGAAUACAUUUUAAGAUUAAAACUUUUUACAUGAAUGGGUACAUAUAAUUAGCAUGGGUACAUUUAGGCAAAUAAAAAGUAAAAAUAAAAAAAAUAUAUAUAUAUAUAUAUAUAUAUAUAUAUAUAUGGGUACAAAUACAAAUAAAGUUUAAAAAAUAUGGGCAAAAAAAGAAAUUAAUAUAUGGGUACAAAUUAAAAUUGAAAAGAAAAUAGGUACAAGUUAAAAAAGAAUUACAAAUUAAAAAUGGGUACAAACUAAAAGUAAAAAUAUAUGAUAAAAAUUUAGUGAUAAAUAUAAAUAUACUAAUUGUAACAUUUUUAACAUUAAAUGAAUAUAUUUAGAAAUAAAAAAUAUUUUAUUAUUGAAAUAAUUAAUGAUGUUAUUAAUACCCAAGGACCUUGAUCAAAAAUUGAAAAGGAAUAGGAUUUUAAUCAAUGGAGUAGCAAAAUGAAGGAUGAGAACCUAAUUUUUCCUAAAUUAAUCUACACUAUAAAGAUAAAGAUUCAAAUUUAAGUACAUUAAAUUAAUCUAAACUAUAAAGAUAAAGAUUCGAAUUUAAGUACAUUAAAUUAAUCUAAGGGAACUUUAACGAAAAGCACCCGGUACUGUUCACUUUAACGAAAAACCACAUUUUUACACUAAAAAGUCAAUCCUGGUACUAUUCACUUUACCCUUUAUUUUGUCCUUAUCAUUAAAACUCAAAGUUUUCAAGUCCUUUUCAUUAGUUUUCCUUUAAUCUAAACUAUAAAGAUAAAGAUACGAAUUUAAGUCCAUAGCUUCCAUAACUUGAAUAGGCAUUUCAUUAGUUCCCGUAACUUCAAUAGCCAUCUCAUUAGCUUCCAUAACUUGAACAUGAACAUUAGCACAAUCAAACAUCCACACCAAAAAGAAUAAUAAAAAGCAUCAACAAAACUUGAAAAGAAGAACAAAACUCAAAUUAUUCAAGAAAAAUCUGUAACCAAUUUGAAUUAGAACUCAAAAACCAUCCCGAAUUUCUAUUUUCUAUCUCGUCCACUGCCUCUCGAUUUUCAGUGAACCGUCUAUGUGAGUAACUUGCUUUUCCAAGGCGAUAAACCUCUUCAAGGUCAGUUUUCUUUAGUGGGUUUCCAAGACAAUCCCAAUUAUUACAGCGGCGUAUAUCGUUAAUGAAGAGUUCCUUUUCAAUUUAUUUCAAUUUGUCUUCUUAGCUGCUCUCACAGGCUGCCCACCUGCAAGGUCAACUCUUCCAGCCUCCAUGUUUGCCCAUUCUUCUCACAAUUUCUAUUUACUUUAACUAGAAAAACCCACAUGAUUACUAAAAAGGAUAAACUUGGCUCCUUAGUUGUUAAUGAAGAGUUCCUUUUCAAUUAGAGGGUAUUCGAUUACUAAAAAGGAUAACCCGAAACACAACUGCUUCUCUGUUCGUGGGAGAUAUUUGUGUCGCAAGAGGAGAGAACCAGAAAAAACCCCAAUUGUUCAAUCCAAAUCCAAAUUAAUCAUCUAAAAUAGUGAAUGAGGAGGAGACCCAUACCUGAAAUCUCUGAAAUCUCAAAGGUUAUUCGCGAUGGCCUGUGAUUUGGCUGGUAUUGCGCUUUGUUCGUGGGAGAUGAUGUGCGCCCGUGCCGCACGGAAGAGGCGGGAACCAAAAAAGAAAAAGGAAAAAGAAAGAUUAUAUCAGCUAUUUAAUCUCAACCACCCAUUUCAUCCAAUGGUUAAGAGAAGGCUCCCCAUUUUUUUGAAAAAAUGCGGAUCCCUCCCCUUAAGCUCCCCCUAUAUAUAUAUAAUAAGCAUGUAUUACCUUAAUGGAUAAGCAUUCACGAAUUCUUCCCUCCUCUUCCAUGAAACAACGGAAAGCUAGCCACCAAACUAUGUUUACCAAGUUGUUUUUAAUUAAUAUGAAAACAUGAGAAGGCUAUUAUAGUUUAUAAGUAUGUUAAGUCAAAUCUGCAGUCGGUAAGAGUUCGCAAAAGUUUUAGAAAGCUUAUCUUUUUUGAUACAUAUGAUAUUUUAUAUUAAAUUAAUCUAAACUAUAAAGAUAAAGAUUCGAAUUUAAGUACAUAGAAGGAAAUACACUGCUCUAGAAAGUUAUAAUUUUUUAACAUUCAAUCUUUGAUUAAGUUAUGACCUAAUCAACUAUUCGUUUGGUUUAAAUUUACAAGUUUGUUCAUUAAUUAGAUAUUUUAGGCUUAAAAACGCAAGAAAGGACCAUGUGAUAAAUCUGAUAUGUAAUUGUGGUUAGUUAAAAUCAGGCAAAAAGGUUGAUUUAAUAAACACAGCAAGGAGCAUCUGUUUUGGUACAAGCAGCUGCUAUAUUCGACUUCGACUUACAAUGUGCUGUCUCCUCUUUCAGCAAAAUUAGCCCAUGUGACAUAGAAUAAGUGGCUGAAGAGACGAGACAGCCAACAUGAGAUCCCAAUGCUCAAGAAAGUACUUUCCUAUAUAUCCAUUUUAGUGUAUCUGUUAUCUCUCUGUUCGUGUAACUAUUCACAUUUAGAGAGUUUCUUUAAAAACAUUGAAAUCAGAAUAAGUAAGUUUCUCCAUCGUGAUGGUAAGUAUUGAUAACUGUUGAUUGAAGUAAACAUUACAUAUUAUAUAACUCACCAAUCAACGGUUCACAAUUCUAAUUAGAUUGCAUGUGUUCGCAAUUCAUUUAUUUUUUUUAAGUUUUAUUCCAAAGGACAAUAUUCAACCGUUAAGAAUUAGAAAUGACAUGAGAUUUUAGUGGCGGAUUAUCUUUUUUGAAAGAAAUGAAACGUUGAACAAGUGUAACUAAAACAUCAAUUUGAAAACCAUCACGGAAAGCAAAAGUCUAAUUACCAAAAAUAAUCCAUCAAUAUUUAUUUAUGAACAUGAACGUUGAACAAGUGUAACUAAAACAUCAAUUUCAAAACCAUCACGGAAAACAAAAGUCUAACCACUAAAAAUAAUCCAUCAAUAUUUAUUUAUGAACAUGCGUAACCAAAGUAGGUAUCAAAAGUAAUCAUAUAAUCAUCUCCGUAUAUAUGAGAGCUACCUAGUAACGUAAUAAUAAUGCCAAAAACAAAAAAAACAAAAGAAUAGUAGCAAAAAUUUAAAAAAAAAAAAUCAAAAACUGAAUGAACAACAAGAUAAAUGAUCGAUCGAUCAAUCGUAGGCUGUGAAGAUUGAUUAGAAGUAAUCAACUUUGCACUUGGUAGUCUGGAAAGUG
rnacentral:lncRNA from 1 species